rnacentral:rRNA from 1 species
GACGAACGCUGGCGGCGUGCCUAAUACAUGCAAGUCGAGCGGACAGAUAAGGAGCUUGCUCCUUUGAAGUCAGCGGCGGACGGGUGAGUAACACGUAGGCAACCUGCCUAUAAGACUGGGAUAACUCCGGGAAACCGGGGCUAAUACCGGAUAGAUUCUUUCCUCUCAUGAGGAAAGAAGGAAAGAUGGUUUCGGCUAUCACUUAUAGAUGGGCCCGCGGCGCAUUAGCUAGUUGGUAAGGUAACGGCUUACCAAGGCGACGAUGCGUAGCCGACCUGAGAGGGUGAUCGGCCACAUUGGGACUGAGACACGGCCCAGACUCCUACGGGAGGCAGCAGUAGGGAAUCUUCCGCAAUGGACGUAAGUCUGACGGAGCAACGCCGCGUGAACGAAGAAGGCCUUCGGGUCGUAAAGUUCUGUUGUUAGGGAAGAACAAGUACGAUAGUAACUGAUCGUACCUUGACGGUACCUAACCAGAAAGCCACGGCUAACUACGUGCCAGCAGCCGCAGUAA